rnacentral:rRNA from 1 species
UACGUAGGGUGCGAGCGUUGUCCGGAAUUAUUGGGCGUAAAGAGCUCGUAGGCGGUGUGUCACGUCGGCCGUGAAAACCUGGGGCUUAACUCUGGGCGUGCGGUCGAUACGGGCAUCACUAGAGUUCGGCAGGGGAGACUGAAAGUUCCUGUGGUAGCGGUGAAAUGCGCAGAUAUCAGGAGGAACACCGGUGGCGAAGGCGGGGUCUCUGGGCCGAUACUGACGCUGAGGAGCGAAAGCAUGGGUAGCGAACAGG